CUCAACAGAACGGAGUUGUGCCAAUGAUAGUCAAGGAAGCCAUCAUAAGGCUGAGAAAUAAGAAAUAAACAGUCAGAUACAUCGGCCAAACAAUAGGCUUGCCCAAAAAAGCCAUUUGGAACAUAUAAUAAAAAACCGAGCUAUAGAAAGGCAAGAUUUACAAUCGGCAUAGGUGUUGCAUUCAUUUUCCAGCCUACAUCCCUGCUUGUCCCACCCACUUGCCUGUUUUCCACACAGAGGGAGAAGGAGGCUGUUGCUCUUCCUGGUGUGUGGAGGAAGAGAGGCAGGUGAGCUGACAGGAUAGACAGGUAUGGGACUUUCACUCUCACGGUUUCUUUCACAGGAUCUUUCUGCGGCUUCCGUUGUGUUCCUCUGAUAGAUUUCUUCAAAAGGAAAGUAUGUUUUUCGGUCAUUUACUUUGCCUUUUGUUAUUAUUUUGUUAACAUGAUGUUUUUUCUUUCGUGAAAUGAUCUUGUUGUAUACGCGUGUGGCUGUUCCACUAUUGUUGUAAUAUCAGGAAGUGGAACCAGGCAAAACAGGCAAGCUAGAAGAGUAAAAUUAUCUCCUUUAGUCUUAAUAAAGAUUUCUUUUUAAAAUAAAUAGAUAAAUAAGGAAAUAAUUGGUAACAUUCAUUGGAAUGAAAGGUGUCAAAUAUUUAAUCAGUUUCCAGUAUUUCUUGUCUGGAAGCUUUAAAUGUAAAGAGAUACAAUGCUUAUAGUUAUAUUAGAUUUUUAAAUGUAUUUAUUUUAUUAAUAUUGUAUGGCAUUAUCUCAAAGCACGUACCGUAUGAUUUGUUGCGUCACAUUCUGUCCCCUUUUUGGUUGUUUUCUUUGUGCUCUGUGUGCUUUCUGCGCUCUUGUUUUCCCUUCCUCCCUAUUACGUGUCUCCACCAUAUGUGAAUUUCUUUCCUGUCAAUUGUCUCACCUGUUUCUCAUUGUCUUUUGUCAGUGUUGCUUAAAAGCCUGGCUAUGUCUGUCUGUCUUUGCUUUGUUUUGUGUCUUGCUCAUAUGCUUGGUCCCUGUAGUGCUAGCCUCUGGUUUCCCUUGAUUAUCUGUCUGUUCCUUUGCCCUGUUUUGAGUUGGGGUUUUUUUUGGAGGGGUUUCUCGUUCUGCCUGCCUGCUCAGUGUUCUGACUCCCUUUGUGUACCUCGACUACGUUUCGGAUUAACCUUUGUUAUUACCGGUUUGCCUACUCUCGACCCCUGCCUGCCUUAUCUCUUGUCCUGCAUUAAAGCCUGCCAUUUCACUUCAUCAUUUAGUCUGCUUUCGGUUCUUCAGUCCUCAACUGUGGCAUGUUGUUUUGCAGCAGGGGCAUGUACACAAGUUUGGCGAAAUCCCUUUUUUGUUGUAGUUUAUAUUGACAUUCAAUUUCACAUUUUACUUCUCUUAAAUGCAGUAGAUUUUGCACACAAUCUCUGUCCUCUCUUUUCCAGAACUCCUAAAACUAUAAGGAGCCAUUGGAACCUGACCUCUGCACAAAAUAUGAAAAGAGCAGUGUCACGGGCACAUAUCCUUCAGGGAUUCCAGCAGCACUGCCAGGCACUGAGCAAGGAAAACAAUGCUGGGUACUCCAGGGAAUUUGAGGAGCUGAAUAAUGUGGGGCUGGGGCUUGCGACUACGGCUGGACAAUUGCAUGUCAACAAAGGCAAAAACAGAUACCCUCAAAUCCUGCCAUACGAUCAUUGUAGGGUGAGACUGGCCCUGCUGAACUCCCAGCUACAUUCUGACUACAUCAAUGCCAGCUAUGUCCCGGGUGGUGCGUCUGCCCAUGAUUUCAUCUGCACCCAGGGGCCCCUUCGGAGCACACGGGCAGACUUCUGGCGUAUGGUGUGGGAGCAGAAUGUUAGGGUUAUCAUCAUGGUAACCGCCUGUAUAGAAAACCGCGCAAUGAUGUGUGAGCCAUACUGGCCACAGGAAAGGGUGUCGGUGUGUUAUGGUGCAGUGCAGGUGACCACACUGUACCAGCAGCGAGGACCAGACUCCAUCAUCACUACCAUGCACCUGCGCCAGGCAGGCAGCCCGGCUGAGAGGAGAAUAACACAUUACCAAUACCCAGGCUGGCCAGAUCAAGGAGUUCCCGAAAACCUUGUCUCCCUUUGCGCCUUUGCUGAGCUUAUCCGGAAGCACCUCAACACCCUUCAACACAUUGGCCCCACCAUCGUCCACUGCAGUGCAGGGGUGGGGCGCUCAGGGGCCCUUGUGGCCCUGCUGUGGCUGAUGCAGCUAUGUGUGCGUGGUGUACCCCCAGAUGUGAGAGCGGUGGUCUACGAUCUGCGCAGACACAGAGUGAUGAUGGUGCAGAACCUGGGGUGCUUCUCAGCGGCAAGGACAGAGACUGAACUACUGAAGACUGGGGCAAUGGUUCACCUUUCAGCACAACAACGGCCCGAAGCAUACAGCCAAGACCACGCUGGAGUGGCUUCGGAACAAGUCUCUGACUGUCCUUGAGUGGCACAGCCAAAGCCCAGACUUAAACCUCAUAGAACACCUGUGGAGAGACCUGAAGAUGGCAGUCCAGACGCUUCCUAUCCAAUCUGACAGAACUUGAGAGAAUCUGCCAGGAAGAAUGGGAGAAAACUGUCCAAAUCAGAUUUGCCCAAGAAGACUCAUAGCUGUAAUUGCUGCCAAAGGGGCUUCUACAAAGUACUUAAUGGUCUAAAUACUUAUAUUAAUGAGAGAUUCCAGUUUUCGAUUUUUUACAAGUUGGCAAAAAGUUCUAAAAACACAUUUUCACAUUGCCAUUAUGGGUUAUUAAGUGUAGAUUGAUGGGCAAAAAUGGCAAGUUUAUCCAUUUAAAAUUACAUCUAAAACAUAAGGUGUGCAAGAAGUGUAUUUCACAAGAGUUGACUAACUUGCUAAUUGGUCGACUGGAAAAUGGUUGUGGCAGGUUGUUGUGAAGUGUCAGUAUGCCCCCAGUGUUUCGCUCUAAUGUGAUUGUGUGCACUGUCUUUCAGGAACAGUAUAUAUUUGUUCACGACUGCCUCAAGCACUGGCUGACUGUAGAGACAUCAGGACACAGACCCCGAGGCACACAGGAGAGUCGGGGUCCUCCGCCGGACAGAGAAAGGGAUACUCGGCGCUCGAGCCAGGAAGGCCACUCCUCC